CAAUAUUUGCUUAAAUGAUCAUAUAUACAUGCAUAAAAACAUUAUUAAAAAUCCAUUUAUUCAUUCGUUGGUAGUUUCCAGGGUAUUUGAAAGUAGGUUCUUAUUUAUUUGCACUCCAGAUGGCUUUAUUUCAUUUGUUAAUAAUGUGGGCUUAGGCAGAAUCACUCCAACCCAAAUUAAUGUACUCUCGGGCGUAAUAAAAAAAAGUAAAAUCUGGAUGUGCUGUAUUAACUGACAAAGGUAAAUU